rnacentral:rRNA from 1 species
CCUACGGGUGGCAGCAGUGGGGAAUAUUGCACAAUGGAGGAAACCCUGAUGCAGCGACGCCGCGUGCGUGAAGAAGGAUUUCGGUAUGUAAAGCUGUAUCAGCACGGAGGAAAAAGCACAGUACCUGACUUAGAUGCCACGGCUAACUGCGUGCCAGCAGCCGCGGUAAUACGUAGGAGGCAAGCGUUAUCCGGAUUUACUGGGUGUAAAGGGAGCGUAGGCGGUUGUGCAAGUCUGAAGUGAAAGCCCAGGGCUCAACACUGGAAUUGCUUUUGAAACUGUGGAGCUAGAGUGCUGGAGUGGUAAGUGGAAUGUCUGGUGUAGCGGUGAAAUGCGUAGAGAUUAUGCGGAACACCAGUGGCGAAGGCAGCUUACUGAAC